UACGAAGGGGGCUAGCGUUGCUCGGAAUGACUGGGCGUAAAGGGCGCGUAGGCGGCUUGGCAAGUCAGGCGUGAAAUUCCUGGGCUCAACCUGGGGGCUGCGCUUGAGACUGCUGGGCUUGAGGAUGGAAGAGGCUCGUGGAAUUCCCAGUGUAGAGGUGAAAUUCGUAGAUAUUGGGAAGAACACCCGUGGCGAAGGCGGCCCACUGGGCCGGUACUGACGCUGAGGCGCGAAGGCGUGGGGAGCGAACGGG
rnacentral:rRNA from 1 species